rnacentral:lncRNA from 1 species
AUGUGUGUUUGGUUUUCUUGUUUUUUUUCUUUUCAGCUGACAGCUUCCACAGCCAAACUCCCUGCAGUCAGAGUGAUGGCUCCUUCCCACUUUGCAGAGGAGGUGGGCUGGGUGGGGUUAGGGAGGCCUCUCUUGUUCGGGCUUUGCCCAUCUGGGAGGCUCGAGCGUGCACAGGCCAGAGGUCCAGCUAGGAGGUGCUCGAUGGGCUGGGGCCAAGUUCGUCCACAGGACACUCUCUGCACUGCGGCUGUCCCUCAGAGUCCCUGUGGCCUUCCUGGCCCUUCUCCUGUGGCGGUGUCUCUCCCACUAGUGGUCAGUUAAAUUCCUCCAGCCCAGGCCCACUGCCCCAUCAGCCCCAAAUCCCAGGCAGGCAGGAAGGAUAGGAAUGACCACAUUCUCUAGUUGCCCCGAAGAGGGGGUAAAACCGCACACCCCGUGGUGCCUGGGCACGCGUGUAGGUGCCCAGUGAAGCCCCAGCCCCCCUCCCUGCUGCCCAGAGACAAGCCCUCCCCCGCCAGCCAAGCUGCCCCCACCCCCAGCUCCCAGAAUAGUCUGUGGCCAGGGCUGGCCUGUGGUAAACAGCCCAGGAGCCUCCUGGUGGGUCUCUGAUGAGUAAUUCUUAGGAAAACACAGCAAGGGUGUGGGGGUGUGGGCGCUGGAACCUGAGCUGGUGGGCAGGUCCCUCUGGGCCCCCUUCGUCCGCACCAGGCUGGACCCAGCUGGCCAGGCCGUGGAGGGGCAGCAGUAGGGGAGGCGGGCUGGGUGUCCCAGAAGGAGGAUGCCUGCUGGCUUCAGGCUCCUCCCCCUCUCCACCCCGGAAAGGAAGGGGUCCUGGGCCCUCCUGGAAUGUCCCAGUCAUCAGGGCAGCUGACGCCCCACCCCGCGGCUCCUGGGGCACUGCCGCCCUCUGACCCCAUCACGCACACCCGUCCCCGGCCCUAUCACCACCCAAGCCUCUUCCCCAGCCUGUCCCAGUCGUUGUCUGGGCGCCACCUCACAGGUGACAGU